UACGUAGGGUGCGAGCGUUAAUCGGAAUUACUGGGCGUAAAGGGUUUGUAGGUGGCCCGCUAAGUCACACGUGAAAUCCCUCAGCUUAACUGGGGAACUGCGUGUGAGACUGGCAGGCUCGAGGGCAGGAGAGGAACGCGGAAUUCCAGGUGUAGCGGUGAAAUGCGUAGAUAUCUGGAGGAACACCGGUGGCGAAGGCGGCGUUCUGGACUGUCUCUGACACUGAAGAACGAAAGCCAGGGGAGCAAACGGG
rnacentral:rRNA from 1 species